AUUGAACGCUGCGGCAGGCUUAACACAUGCAAGUCGAGCGAGCGGCGGACGGGUGCGUAAUGCUUAGGAAUCUGCCUAUUAGUGGGGGACAACAUCACGAAAGGGAUGCUAAUACCGCAUACUCAUAGAUGCGGCUAAGUCGGAUUAGCUAGUUGGUGGGGUAAAGGGCUACCAAGGCGACGAUCGGUAGCGGGUCUGAGAGGAGGAUCCGCCCAACUGGGACGUGGACACCGGCCAGACCUCUUCGGGAGGCCGGAAUGGGGAAUAUUGGACAAGGGGGGGAACCCUUGUCCAGCCAUGCCGCGGGGGUUAAGAAGGCCUUAUGGUUGUAAAGCACCUUAAGCGAGGAGGCGUUACUCGCAGAAUAAGCACCGGCUAACUCCGUGCCAGCAGCCGCGGUAAUAC
rnacentral:rRNA from 1 species